CCUACGUGAGGCAGCAGUGAGGAAUAUUGGUCAAUGGACGCAAGUCUGAACCAGCCAUGCCGCGUGCAGGAAGACGGCUCUAUGAGUUGUAAGCAGCUUUUGUGCGGGGGUAAACGCAGAUACGCGUAUCUGUCUGAAAGUAUCUUACGCGUAGAGGUCGGCUAACUCCGUGCCAGCAGCCGCGGUAAUACGGAGGAUUCAAGCGUUAUCCGGAUUUAUUGGGUUUAAAGGGUGCGUAGGCGGUCGGAUAAGUUAGAGGUGAAAUCCCGAGGCUCAACUUCGGAAUUGCAUCUGAUACUGUUCGGCUAGAGAGUAGUUGCGGUAGGUGGAAUGUAUGGUGUAGCGGUGAAAUGCUUAGAGAUCAUACAGAACACCGAUUGCGAAGGCAGCUUACCAAGCUACUUCUGACGUUGAGGUACGAAAGCGUGGGGAGCAAACAGGAUUAGAUACCCGUGUAGUC
rnacentral:rRNA from 1 species